AACGAACGCUGGCGGCAUGCCUAACACAUGCAAGUCGAACGAGACCUUCGGGUCUAGUGGCGCACGGGUGCGUAACGCGUGGGAACCUGCCCUUAGGUUCGGAAUAACUCCCCGAAAGGGGUGCUAAUACCGGAUAAUGUCUUCGGACCAAAGAUUUAUCGCCUUUGGAUGGGCCCGCGUUGGAUUAGCUAGUUGGUAGGGUAAAAGCCUACCAAGGCGACGAUCCAUAGCUGGUCUGAGAGGAUGAUCAGCCACACUGGGACUGAGACACGGCCCAGACUCCUACGGGAGGCAGAAGUGGGGAAUAUUGGACAAGGGGCGAAAGCCUGAUCCAGCAAGGCCGCGUGAGUGAUGAAGGCCUUAGGGUUGUAAAGCUCUUUUACCCGGGAUGAUAAUGACAGUACCGGGAGAAUAAGCGCCGGCUAACUCCGUG
rnacentral:rRNA from 1 species